UACGUAGGGGGCAAGCGUUGUCCGGAUUUAUUGGGCGUAAAGAGCGUGUAGGCGGCUAGGUAGGUCCGUUGUGAAAACUCGAGGCUCAACCUCGAGACGCCGAUGGAAACCAUCUAGCUAGAGUCCGGAAGAGGAGAGUGGAAUUCCUGGUGUAGCGGUGAAAUGCGUAGAUAUCGGGAGGAACACCGGUGGCGAAGGCGGUGCUCUGGGCCAGUACUGACGCUGAGGAGCGAAAGCGUGGGGAGCAAACAGG
rnacentral:rRNA from 1 species